AGCAGCAUGGCGCAGCUGGAAGCGCGCGGGGCCCAUAUGUACCGCUCUAGGUUAUUUGAACCCCGAGGUCACUUGAUCGAAACAAGUUGCUGCUA